rnacentral:misc_RNA from 1 species
CCAAUAGCGUAUAUUAAAGUUGUUGUGGUUAAAAAGCUCGUAGUUGAACCUUGGGCCUGGCUGGCCGGUCCGCCUCACCGCGUGUACUGGUCCGGCCGGGCCUUUCCCUCUGUGGAACCCCAUGCCCUUCACUGGGUGUGGCGGGGAAACAGGACUUUUACUGUGAAAAAAUUAGAGUGCUCCAGGCAGGCCUAUGCUCGAAUACAUUAGCAUGGAAUAAUAGAAUAGGACGUGUGGUUCUAUUUUGUUGGUUUCUAGGACCGCCGUAAUGAUUAAUAGGGACAGUCGGGGGCAUCAGUAUUCAAUUGUCAGAGGUGAAAUUCUUGGAUUUAUUGAAGACUAACUACUGCGAAAGCAUUUGCCAAGGAUGUUUUCAUUAAUCAGGAACGAAAGUUAGGGGAUCGAAGACGAUCAGAUACCGUCGUAGUCUUAACCAUAAACUAUGCCGACUAGGGAUCGGACGGUGUUAUUUUUUGACCCGUUCGGCACCUUACGAGAAAACAAAGUGUUUGGGUUC